rnacentral:rRNA from 1 species
UACGUAGGUGGCAAGCGUUGUCCGGAUUUACUGGGCGUAAAGAGCGCGCAGGCGGUCGUUCAAGUCGCGUGUGAAAGCCCCCGGCUCAACUGGGGAGGGUCACGCGAUACUGAUCGACUCGAAGGCAGGAGAGGGAAGUGGAAUUCCCGGUGUAGUGGUGAAAUGCGUAGAUAUCGGGAGGAACACCAGUGGCGAAGGCGGUUACCUGGAGCUUUGCUGACGCUGAUGCGCGAAAGCGUGGGGAGCGAUCCGG